rnacentral:rRNA from 1 species
UGGGCAACCUGCCCUCAGCUCUGGGAUAACCCCGGGAAACCGGGGCUAAUACCGGAUACGACCUCCUCGGGCAUCCGUGGAGGUGGAAAGGUUUUUCCGGCUGAGGAUGGGCCCGCGACCUAUCAGCUAGUUGGUGGGUGACGGCCUACCAAGGCGACGACGGGUAGCCGGCCUGGAGAGGGCGACCGGCCACACGUGGGACUGGAGACGACCGGCCCAGACUCCGUACGGGAGGCA